rnacentral:rRNA from 1 species
UACAGAGGUCCCAAGCGUUGUUCGGAUUCACUGGGCGUAAAGGGUGCGCAGGUGGUCGGGUAAGUCUGACGUGAAAUCCCGCAGCUUAACUGCGGAAUGGCAUUGGAUACUAUUCGGCUAGAGGGUUGGAGGGGGGACUGGAAUUCUCGGUGUAGCAGUGAAAUGCGUAGAUAUCGAGAGGAACACCAGUGGCGAAGGCGGCUACCUGGACCGGUACUGACGCUGAGGCGCGAAAGCGUGGGUAGCAAACAGG